rnacentral:rRNA from 1 species
AGUGAACGCUGGCGGUAGGCCUAACACAUGCAAGUCGAACGGCAGCACAGUAAGAGCUUGCUCUUACGGGUGGCGAGUGGCGGACGGGUGAGGAAUACAUCGGAAUCUACUUUUUCGUGGGGGAUAACGUAGGGAAACUUACGCUAAUACCGCAUACGACCUACGGGUGAAAGCAGGGGAUCUUCGGACCUUGCGCGAUUGAAUGAGCCGAUGUCGGAUUAGCUAGUUGGCGGGGUAAAGGCCCACCAAGGCGACGAUCCGUAGCUGGUCUGAGAGGAUGAUCAGCCACACUGGAACUGAGACACGGGCCAGACUCCUACGGGAGGCAGCAGUGGGGAAUAUUGGACAAUGGGCGCAAGCCUGAUCCAGCCCUACCGCGUGGGUGAAGAAGGCCUUCGGGUUGGAAAGCCCUUUUGUUGGGAAAGAAAAGCAGCAGGUUAAUACCCCGCUGUUCUGACGGUACCCAAAGAAUAAGCACCGGCUAACUUCGUG